rnacentral:rRNA from 3 species
ACAUACCACUUGUUGCCUCGGCGGAUCAGCCCGCUCCCGGUAAAACGGGACGGCCCGCCAGAGGACCCCUAAACUCUGUUUCUAUAUGUAACUUCUGAGUAAAACCAUAAAUAAAUCAAAACUUUCAACAACGGAUCUCUUGGUUCUGGCAUCGAUGAAGAACGCAGCAAAAUGCGAUAAGUAAUGUGAAUUGCAGAAUUCAGUGAAUCAUCGAAUCUUUGAACGCACAUUGCGCCCGCCAGUAUUCUGGCGGGCAUGCCUGUUCGAGCGUCAUUUCAACCCUCAAGCACAGCUUGGUGUUGGGACUCGCGUUAAUUCGCGUUCCUCAAAUUGAUUGGCGGUCACGUCGAGCUUCCAUAGCGUAGUAGUAAAACCCUCGUUACUGGUAAUCGUCGCGGCCACGCCGUUAAACCCCAACUUCUGAAUGUUGACCUCGGAUCAGGUAGGAAUACCCGCUGAACUUAAGCAUAUCA